UGCAGGGAGGGGUUAAGAUUUAUUUUGUUGCCUGUUUGUUUGCGGGGCUUUGGUUGGGUCGGUUUUCCUUUUUUUUUUUUUUUUUCCUUUUGUGUGUGUUUGUGUGUGUGUGCGGUGAUGGCGGUGCUCCUCAAGGAAAGAAUAACGAACGGCGGGAUGUGCACAGCGGGCUGGAACAGAGGGGCUGCGCCGAGCCUGCUCCAACACAGCCCAGACCGAGCCAGCAACGGGAGGCUGGGAAGGGCCGGGGCGGCUCGGCGGAGCUCCGGUGGAGGGGCUGCCGGCGUCACCGAUCCUCUCCAGGAGGGCGGAGAGGCUGCGGGCAGCCGCACGGAGCCCCUCGCUGCGGGACGCGAGCAGCCGGUAGGGCCGGGGCAGGACGGAGGGCAGCUCCGGGUCGGCUGCUGGGCGGCGCGGCGGCCGCUCCUCCUCCUCCUCCCACAGCCGCCAUCCAGCGAGCCGCGGCGGCGGUACCGAGCGGUACGAUUAGCCUGAGAGCUUGGUGUUAAUAAAUCGAAAUCUGACAGGGAACAGGCUGCAGAUCAACAAGGGGCUUUGGCAUCCCAACAUGAGAGCAGGCAACAAGUAGUACAGACUGCUCUCCCCCUCUUCUUUCCCCCCUCCACCUUCAGCCAGUCCUGACAAAAUGCCAGUUAGAAAGGUCAGCCUGUUUAUGUAAAGGUAAGUGUUUCUUCACAAAGACUGCUGCACAUCAAAGCCUGCAAUGACUAUUAGAUAGACUUUGGGAUUCAAGGUACUCAGUCAUAGUCCUGUUCAUUUUCUAUAACUGAUAAAAUCACAGAGAAAACAGAAGACAGACACAGCACAAGUGGGAUAGAUCAACAUGCUGGGGUGUGUGGAGGCAGCAGUAACUUCAUGACAGUGUUUGCUACUGCAAAUGCUAGUAAGAUCUGGUGGAUCCUCAUAUAUUACCUGCACAUAUAUAUGAAUACACACACACAUAUAUAAAGAGAUUUGCUGAUGUGCUAAUGUUUUUCUGCUCCUCUUUCUAGUUUUCACUUCAGCUGUAAUGAUGUCCUAGACUGAAUUAGUUCUGCAGUCAUUUCACAAUGAAAGCAGUUUAAAUCAAAGAAGGAGAAUUUGAUUUUGAGUCUGACCAAUUCUAUCCCUUCUAAAAAAGAGAAGAUUGACUUUACUGGACUUUGGCACAGGCCAUUCAUAGUUAAGUUUAGCUUUCAUUUCAUAGCACCUAGAUGCACAGUGGACACAUUCUGAUCAUUUCAGUAUGCAUUAUUUCCCCUCCUGUUAAUCUAGAGCAGUACAGUCAUGUUUCCUUAACUCAUAUCACUUCUUCUGGCCCUUUUCCUGCUUAAAAUCUAAUAAGGAUAUUCUGAUAUUAUUCACUUGUGUAUAUUUGUUAAGUACCUAAAAGCUAAAAGAAUACUAUCUUGCAGUAACAACAUAAAUCUUCCACUGAUGUCCAUUCCAAUAUCUAAUUGCCACCACAGUUCUGUUCUAGAUCUUGAAAUGGUGCUGAAACAGACUUGAAGUCAUGUGGAGGACUUUGUUGCUUUUUGUUCAAUGAUAGUAAUAAAAUAUUACAAAAUCUCACCAUAGGUCAGAAUGCUGAAAUUGCAAACAGUAGAACCAUGGCACUAACUGUAUUUGAAUGGGGCAAGAACCAUGAACUGGCAGUGCAAAAUCCAAACUUGGAGCCUAGUUUCACCUAAGGAGCUGCACAUCAUUGCGUGAGAUAGAGAUGCAUUACCUCUGCCAAGUGGCAGUGAAUUAGAGGUCAUCAGAUUCCUUUUUCUUGUAAAUCAACAUUAAGUAGUGGUGUGUCUGUGUAUUGGUAAAUACACAUCUUGAUAGCAUAUCCCAUAACACUUUUUUACUUCAUAUUUUUCACUCUCUUUUUUUCCAGAACUGGUUACAUGUUUCUUUUUAGCUACUGACAAUGCAUGCAAUUUAUUAAACCAGUUCAGCAGUUACUGUUAAUUUGCAACAGGAAAAAAGUAUUAUGCAAACAAUGCUGUCAUCUUCUUACAGUAGCUUCUUCCUCCUAGCUAUAAUGGAUUCUCUGCAUGCUGGUCUCCUGUAAAUUCUCCAUCUAAAAAUUCCAUUUUCUACUUGUUUUGUCAAGAGAAACUCUACUUGACUUUUGAAACAGUUGGGAGGAGAAAAAUGAUAACCCACUGAAGUGCCUUGCCCUUAGCUGAUAUUACGGGAAAGUAAUUAAAGCAAAAAGACUCACACUUUGCACUCCUUAUGAUCGUGGUGGUUUUUGAAUGGGUGAGAUUAUUUUUAGACAUUGAUUUGAAUGUCAAAUUUACAUAUUCAUCUAGAAAACAUAGCAAAUGCUUAAUUGCCUAUGUCCAAGUGUUUGUACUUUGCUUUGAAAACAAUGUGUCACAUAUUCCCGGGUUUUAUUUUUUGUUGCUAUUUGAGUGCACCCACAAAUUGAACUACUUAUCUAAAUAAGUCCUGUGUUUGCUCAGUAUAGAAACAAAUGUGCUGUGUUUAGAAUUUUGCUUCAUAAACAUAUUUCGACCUAUAUGCUUUUACUUAAAUGGAGAUAUGAUUCAUUUGAAUGGAAUUACAGCCAGAGACUUUUUCUUUUCUUGCAGAGGAGUUUAUUUUUGGAAUUUACCAGCAUUUCACAUGUAGGGAAUAAAUUGGAACUUUUAUAAUUGAUUUCUGGAGGGGAAAAUGAAUCAGAGAAAUACAGAGAAGUGACUGUGUACUUACUUAGAAUCAUGGAAUAUCCUGAGCUAGAAGGGAUCUGCAAGGAUCACUGAGUUCAACUGCUGUCUUCACACAUGCAGAAUCCACAACAUGCUCAAAUGUCAUAUGGUUGGUGAUAGCCCAGCCCUCUAAUUUAUCAAGAUCCCUCUGGAAGGCCUCUCUACCCUCAAGGGAGUUAGCAGGUUAUAAGUAUCAUUCAGACACCAGUCUUCUGAGAUGUGACCAGUGAUGAAGACCAGUGAUGUUUCUCCACUCCUUUCAGAAGAUAUUAACUGCAAGGCCUUUCCUGUCCUGCAAGAGUUUGGGUGUUGCAGAGCACCAUCGCAAGAAAGCUAGAGGCCUUGCUGGUGGGCAGGAGGUUGAGAAAGGCCACAGAUGACCCAAACUGAUCAGAGUGAUAUUCCAUAUCAUUUCACAUCAUGCUCAGUGAUGAAGGCAGGGGAGGCAAGUUUUUCCAAAGUAGCCAUUGCUCAUAGGUUGGUUGGACACGUUUGCUCUUGGGAGGUGGAGACAGAGAGAGUGACUGACCAGGUCCUAACUGCCUGCUAGGGCCACCUCCAAAGCCACUUCUGGGACUGGAGAAGUAAGACGCGAUGCCUUGGCAGUUGUUGGACUUUUGAAACAGAGAAAGGUCCUCCCAGUUUUCCUGUUUCACUGAUCUCAGUUUCUGUUAAAUAUAUGUUACCUCUGAUCCUCAGAAAUGUAAGAAGGUACUAAAAUAAAUUAGAAAAUAAAGAUGUAAGCUUAAAAAGUGAGAGUGCAUUCUCAUACUAAUAGUAUUAAUAGCGCUAAGCUGCCUUUGGUGUCAUGUUUCAUUCUCUAGGUAGCCUUCCAUCACUGUCAUGCUUUGUGAGUAAUUUUUCCGUGGUCGGUUUCUGUUUU